AGUGAACGCUGGCGGUAGGCCUAACACAUGCAAGUCGAACGGCAGCACAGUAAGAGCUUGCUCUUACGGGUGGCGAGUGGCGGACGGGUGAGGAAUACAUCGGAAUCUACUUUUUCGUGGGGGAUAACGUAGGGAAACUUACGCUAAUACCGCAUACGACCUACGGGUGAAAGCAGGGGAUCUUCGGACCUUGCGCGAUUGAAUGAGCCGAUGUCGGAUUAGCUAGUUGGCGGGGUAAAGGCCCACCAAGGCGACGACCCGUAGCUGGUCUGAGAGGAUGAUCAGCCACACUGGAACUGAGACACGGUCCAGACUCCUACGGGAGGCAGCAGUGGGGAAUAUUGGACAAUGGGCGCAAGCCUGAUCCAGCCAUACCGCGUGGGUGAAGAAGGCCUUCGGGUUGUAAAGCCCUUUUGUUGGGAAGGAAAAGCAGCAGGUUAAUACCCCGCUGUUCUGACGGUACCCAAAGAAUAAGCACCGGCUAACUUCGUG
rnacentral:rRNA from 1 species